rnacentral:rRNA from 1 species
AACGAACGCUGGCGGCAUGCCUAAUACAUGCAGGUCGAACGAGAUCUUCGGGUCUAGUGGCGCACGGGUGCGUAACGCGUGGGAAUCUGCCCUUUGGUUCGGAAUAACAGUUGGAAACGACUGCUAAUACCGGAUGAUGACGAAAGUCCAAAGAUUUAUCGCCAGAGGAUGAGCCCGCGUAGGAUUAGCUAGUUGGUGUGGUAAAGGCGCACCAAGGCGACGAUCCUUAGCUGGUCUGAGAGGAUGAUCAGCCACACUGGGACUGGGACACGGCCCAGACUCCUACGGGAGGCAGCAGUGGGGAAUAUUGGACAAUGGGCGAAAGCCUGAUCCAGCAAUGCCGCGUGAGUGAUGAAGGCCUUAGGGUUGUAAAGCUCUUUUACCCGGGAUGAUAAUGACAGUACCGGGAGAAUAAGCUCCGGCUAACUCCGUGCCAGCAGCCGCAGUAA